GUACGUGAAACCGCUUAGAGCAAACGAAUGGGSCUUCGAUUCCGAUGGCGAACAAUUCAGUUUCGAUAGCGUACGUGCCUGAUGGGUUUGUGUUUGCGCAAGCUUCACUGCCUGUUAUGGUUGCAAGCGUUGUCGAGGCGCAUUUUGUUUUGUCGGUAGGGCGUCGUAACCAAUAGAGUUAAUAAAAAAGCGUUUUGAGGGCUGGAAUGUUGGUAGCAUUGAAGUCUUCGGGCUUUAGUGUAAUUAGCGUCUGGUCUGAAUGAAUCGCUACUCUAUUGGGGCAAUGUCUCGUACUUCUGCGCAAGAAAACCGGAAGGUCUGGCAGUAAGUUGUUGAUCUACUUUUAGUAGGCUGCGAUCUAUAUGUUGGGCUGGUAGCUGGAUUUCUAUUGCUUUGUACGCGGACGGUUAACGGCGAGUAGGUCGGUAACCCAUUCGACCCGUCUUGAAACACGGACCAAGGAGUGAAACAUGUACGCGAGUCAUUGAGUUCCUGUACCUCAAAGGCGAAAUGAAAUGUGAAGGUCAAUUUACAUUGGCUGAGACGCGAUCCUGCACUCUACGUAGUGCGGGCGCAGCGUCCACCCGUUCAACGUGUACUUGUACACAGAGCGGAGUGUGAGCGUACAUGUUUCGACCCGAAAGAUGGUGACCUAUGCCUGGGCAAGAUGAAGCCAGAGGAAACUCUGGUGGAGGUCUGAAGCGAUUCUGACGUGCAAAUCGAUCGUCUGACCUGGGUAUAGGGGCGAAAGACUCAUCGAACCAUCUAGUAGCUGGUUCCCUCCGAAGUUUCCCUCAGGAUAGCUAGAACUCGAAUACAGUAUCAUCCGGUAAAGCGAAUGAUUAGAGGCAUUGGGGACGAAACGUCCUCAACCUAUUCUCAAACUUUAAAUGGGUGAGAAGCUUGUCUUUCUUAAUUUGAAGUCAGSCGCGUUAUGAGAGUUCUUA
rnacentral:rRNA from 1 species